rnacentral:sRNA from 2 species
AUAAGUUGGGGCAAAAUACGCGCCCUGCAAAAUGAGAAACAUAACCGACGCUUAUCCCGUCGGUUAUUUUUUUGC